rnacentral:tRNA from 1 species
CCACGAUCUGGCCCAGCGGCCCGGGCGCGUCGACGGCUUUGAGGUUCUGCGCGCGAAACGCCGCGGGAUCGAUUCCCGCGGCUUGGGCCA